GACGAACGCUGGCGGCGUGCCUAAUACAUGCAAGUUGAGCGCUGAAGGCUGGUCCUUGUACCAACUGGAUGAGCAGCGAACGGGUGAGUAACGCGUGGGGAAUCUGCCUUUGAGCGGGGGACAACAUUUGGAAACGAAUGCUAAUACCGCAUAACAACUUUAAACACAAGUUUUAAGUUUGAAAGAUGCAAUUGCAUCACUCAAAGAUGAUCCCGCGUUGUAUUAGCUAGUUGGUGAGGUAAAGGCUCACCAAGGCGAUGAUACAUAGCCGACCUGAGAGGGUGGUCGGCCACAUUGGGACUGAGACACGGCCCAAACUCCUACGGGAGGCAGCAGUAGGGAAUCUUCGGCAAUGGACGAAAGUAUGACCGAGCAACGCCGCGUGAGUGACGAAGGUUUUCGGAUCGUAAAACUCUGUUGGUAGAGAAGAACGGUUGUGAGAGUGGAAAGCUCAUCAAGUGACGGUAACUACACAGAAAGGGACGGCUAACUACGUG
rnacentral:rRNA from 1 species